CGCACACACACACACACACACACACACACACAUACAAUGUAAGUGUUGCUGACUGACAUCAGACGUGACCAAACAUUGGCAUACAUCAUCAAACUGCAGGAACCUUUCAGAUCAAUAUCAGAUCAAUAUCAACUCUUAAUGAUCAAAGGAUUUUCAUUAAUUUAUCCAUCUGAUGAUAAUUGAGCUCCUGAUUUCACGACUGAAUACAUCAAUAAUUCAUUUGAUCAUAAACACACAUUUACAUUGCUCUCUUAUUAAUAAAUGAUUAAAUCCAUGUGUAAUGUAACUAAGUACAUCAGGUACUCCAUUACACUCUGAGGUACGUCACUUGAGUCUUUGUACUGACGAUAUCUGUGUCUCAGUUCAGGCGCCGCGGCCUCUGAAGGACGCGGCCUUUGUUAGCCAAACCAAACGUCUCUGAAAUGUGACAGUCUGGUCUGUGGAGGAUUUCCUGGUUGCAUCAACAGUUGUUCUCGCCCUGACCCGUUGGCGUUCCUGUUACCUAGCAACCAGCCACGCUUGACAAAAUAAGGACUAAGCUAGUAAGUUAGUUAGCCCUAAUGGACCCACAGAUUGUAAUUAAAUAUGUUUUAUUUAAUCCUUGAGGAGAUGAUUCACCAUCGUCUGAUAUAUUUCAGAUUUAAUUUUGUGCCUUUAGCUAACGUAAUGUUAACAACAGCUAACCGUUAGCUAGUUAACAACUGUUAGUUAACUUAAUAUAUUAUCGUCACUGGUGUGCAGUGCAUCUUGGGAUAGGCUGGGUCACGAAGGAUUCAUCAGUUGCAUCCUCCAAAUUCUGGGAAAGACAGCUGCACUGAAGGAGACUCUGAAAAGGGACGGCCUCGUCGCGCCAAUGUGACGCAGUCGGUCUUCAGAUGCAGCGUUCAACGUGCAUGAACCAGUUUGUGUUCAUAUUAUUACACAUGAGGAGUUUAUGGAGUCUGAUGUAAACUUAUUAAUUAAUCUCAGUAUUUAUAUGCUGUGGUGUUAGUGUUUCUACUACAGUGACGCAUCUGAGUACUGAUAAUGACGAAGUAACAGUCUGUGUUGACACCAUUGUGCUCAUUGUUUGCCGCUAACUGCUCUCAGGUCAUUCUGUUGUUAGCUGUUAGCCGCUAGCUGCUCUCAGGUCACUCUAUUGUUAGCUGAUAGCUGCUAGCUGCUCUCAGAUCACUCUAUUGUUAGCUGCUAGCUGCUAGCUGCUCUCAGGUCACUCUGUUGUUAGCUGUUAGCCGCUAGCUGCUCUCAGGUCACUCUGUUGUUAGCUGUUAGCUGCUCUCUGGUCACUCUGUUGUUAGCUGUUAGCUGCUCUCUGGUCACUCUGUUGUUAGCUUUUAGCUGCUCUCUGGUCACUCUGUUGUUACAAGUUAGCCUCUAGCUGCUCUCAGGUCACUCUGUUGUUAGCUGUUAGCUGCUUUCUGGUCACUCUGUUGUUAGCUUUUGGCUGCUCUCUGGUCACUCUGUUGUUACAAGUUAGCCUCUAGCUGCUCUCAGGUCACUCUGUUGUUACCCGCUAGCUGCUCUCAGGUCACUCUGUUGUUACCCGCUAGCUGCUCUCAGGUCACUCUGUUGUUAGCUGUUAGCUGCUCUCAGGUCACUCUGUUGUUAGCUGUUAGCUGCUCUCUCGUCAUUCUGUUGUUAGCUGUUAGCUGCUCUCAGGUCACUCUGUUGUUAGCUGUUAGCUGCUCUCUCGUCAUUCUGUUGUUAGCUGUUAGCUGCUCUCAGGUCACUCUGUUGUUAGCUGUUAGCUGCUCUCUCGUCAUUCUGUUGUUAGCUGUUAGCCUCUAGCUGCUCUCAGGUCACUCUGUUGUUAGCUGUUAGCCGUUAGCUGCUCUCAGGUCAUUCUCUGUGAGGAUGCUAAGCUAACAGGCAGCGGAUCAUUUCUCCUCGUAUAUCGGUAGAUGACGUAGCGGCCGUUCCCGCCUCGACAGGCCGGCUCGGA